rnacentral:rRNA from 1 species
AAGCGCGUGUAGGUUGACUAUCAAGUCAGGGGUGAAUCCCAGAGCUCAACUCUGGAAUUGCCUUUGAAACUGAUAGUCUAGAGACUUGGAGGGGGAAGUGGAAUUUCUAAUGUAGGGGUGAAAUCCGUAGAGAUUAGAAGGAACACCGGUGGCGAAGGCGGCUUCCUGGACAAGUACUGACACUGAGACGCGAAAGCGUGGGGAUCAAACAGGAUUAGAUACCCUGGUAGUCCACGCUGUAAACGAUGGAUGCUAGACGUCGGCCUGUCUAAGGCAGGUAUUAGUUAUUGGGUAUUAGUUAUUAGAUUUAUUUCUAACAACUAACAGCUAACAACUAAUAACUUUCUUAGAUAGGUCGGUGUCGUAGCUAACGCGUUAAGCAUCCCGCCUGGGGAGUACGGUCGCAAGAUUAAAACUCAAAGGAAUUGACGGGGACCCGCACAAGCGGUGGAGCAUGUGGUUUAAUUCGAGGCAACGCGAAGAACCUUACCAGGACUUGACAUCCCGAUUACCGGAAGCAGAGACGCUUCUUUCAGUUUGGCUGGAUCGGUGACAGGUGCUGCACGGCUGUCGUCAGCUCGUGUCGUGAGAUGUUGGGUUAAGUCCCGCAACGAGCGCAACCCUCAUCCUUAGUUGCCAUCAUUCAGUUGGGAACUCUAAGGAAACUGCCGGUGAUAAACCGGAGGAAGGUGAGGACGACGUCAGUCAUCAUGGCCCUUAUGUCCUGGGCUACACACGUGCUACAAUGGUGAAUACAACGAGUUAAUCUCAAAAUUCAUCUCAGUUCGGAUUGUUGGCUGCAACUCGCCUACAUGAAAGCUGGAAUCGCUAGUAAUCGUAGAUCAGCAUGCUACGGUGAAUACGUUCCCGGG